rnacentral:rRNA from 1 species
AUUGAACGCUGGCGGCAGGCCUAACACAUGCAAGUCGAGCGGGGUUUUCGGACCUAGCGGCGGACGGGUGAGUAAUGCGUAGGAAGCUACCCGAUAGAGGGGGAUACCAGUUGGAAACGACUGUUAAUACCGCAUAAUGUCUACGGACCAAAGUGUGGGACCUUCGGGCCACAUGCUAUCGGAUGCGCCUACGUGGGAUUAGCUAGUUGGUGAGGUAAUGGCUCACCAAGGCGACGAUCCCUAGCUGGUUUGAGAGGAUGAUCAGCCACACUGGAACUGAUACACGGUCCAGACUCCUACGGGAGGCAGCAGUGGGGAAUAUUGGACAAUGGGCGCAAGCCUGAUCCAGCCAUGCCGCGUGUGUGAAGAAGGCCUUCGGGUUGUAAAGCACUUUCAGUUGGGAGGUAGGGUUGUGUGUUAAUAGUACACAGCCUUGACGUUACCAACAGAAGAAGCACCGGCUAACUCUGUGCCAGCCGCCGCAGUAAGAC